GGGAGGGCGGCGGCGGCGGCGGCGGCGGCGGCGGCGGCGGCGGCGGCUCUCGGGGCUGACGAACGAGGAGCGAAGGCCUCCAGGUCGGCAGGAGGGCAUUUAAAGCAAGCAAAAUAGUGCCAACGAAGGUGUGGAAAAAAGCCGUCGUGCUAACCAGUGAAGCCACCCCGGCCGAGAGGGUCGUUGUCCCCUCGGUUUUCUGUCUCCGCCCACAGAACUCCACAGCACCUGCGAAACUCGAGGCGCCCGCUUUCCCCUCGGGCAGCGCGGCUGAGGGAAGGCGGGCUGUGGGGAUGCGCUCGGUCGCAGCAGCGCGCAGCCUGAGGGGAGAAAAGUUUUCUGUGGGCCGAUUCUUUGUUCUUCUCUCUUCUUUUUUUUUCUUUUUUCUUUUUCCCUCGUAAUGCAGGGAUGGCAGGGCAUGAAGCAGGCGCUGCAGAGCGGGAAGCCGCGGCACGGCCGGUGCCCGAGCAGCAGGGCCGCCCGCUCCCCUGCUUACACGCGCGGGCGGCCGCCUUUGUCUGAGGGCACGCGUGGGGAGGGGGCGGCAGCACCGCACGGAGGGGGUAAAUAAAAGAGCAUGGAUGAAAAAUAACGUUUUUCCAUCGCUGUUUGAUGCUAGGAGCUGGGGGACAUUAGGUAGCGCUACCAAAAACACCUAUCUUGAAGGACAGCAGGCUGCCUCAGUGACACUGAGUGUUUGUUUAGGCACUGCGUGGAUUCUCAGUGAGCCCUGCCCUUUUGAUACGGCUAGCAAAGAAAGUCUCAAGCUGCUCUUAACUGCCAGAUAAUUGUGAAGGAAUUAGCAUGACCGACAAAAUGACAGUGCACGUCAUAGUCCUACGUGCUUUCCCUUGCUGAUCUUCUAACUUAGAGGUCAGUCGUGAAACAAACAAGAAUCAGAGUACAGAUGCUGCCCUGCUGCCUUGGUUAAACGAGAGCAACCUGCCUUGCGGCUCACCACUACAGCCCCCGCCACAGGCUGCUGAAGAGUUGCCUAUUGUGAGUGUGUCACUGCAGCACCAGCCAGCUGGCACGUCAGCAUUUCCAAUGCAAACCUAUUUUUAAAGAUCAUCUCAUCUCACCCGUGUCCAUGACUGCACAAAUAUCAGAUUUCCUUUGUUGUGCAGCUUUCAGGUUCUGUUCAAGGCAGGAUAUGAACUCUUCUAUUGAUUGCGAAGGUGGUUCAGGGGUGGGUACAGUUAAUUUUAUAGGCCAAGUUUAUUCAAAUUCAUAAUUAUUUCACCUUUAAUCUUUUGUACAAUACAGUUCAACAAUACUUGCACUGUCUGAGCAGUACAACUCUUUCCUAUUGUGUGGAUGGAUUUAUGUGGGUACAAAGCAUGCUUCUGUUAACACAACUUGUUCUCUUACAAGAAGGAAAAAGAACUGUCCUGAGAUACAGAGAAUGUUUAGUAGUGUGCUUGUGUCUAUGCCAGAACUGUACCAGCAUAGGAACUGAUUUACACAAAGCUCAGGUACUCUGGAGGGUGCGCUCUCACACUGAUAUAAAAGAGUGCAGUGUUUUCAUUCUCAGACCAGUGUCACAGUUGUAGCUGAUUAACCUCUACAUACAGCAUAAAUUGAUCUGGUUCUGAUAAGGUAAAUGUUACAGCAAGAUUUUCAUAUUUCUAUAAACUAAUAUAACAAUGCCAAACCUUUAUAUAUUUUGAUAAAGUUACGGAAGAGUACAAUCAGAAAAUAUUUGAUCAAUAUUGAGUUUGAAUAUGCAAUAUAAAUGUGAGUCUAUAACCCAUUCUAUUUAUACUGAUAUUUAAAAAAUGCAAGUAAAGCCAAGCUCACAUAUGUACUUACAGAGAAGUGAUAUAAAAUAUAUUAUAAACAUCUUGAUGUUGUUAAACAGUUCAUUAUGUAGUAUGCCCCACCCUACUGAGGAUAAAGAAGUCAAUUACAUGAAAAACAGCAAGAACCACUUUUCUACUCAGUUAUGGUUAUGCUGAAUGUGUGAAGCACAAGUGAAGAGGCACUUACUGAAUUCCUGCUUCAGCUUUAUGAUUAUAUUUUUGCAAUUACAUCUUUUGUACUUUUGUAGCAAGUUUUCAAGAAGCCUGUUUAUGCAUAAGAAUGCAAACCAAUUUAAGUGAUGACACUCAUAGUUCAACACCUUGAGAAAGAGCCUUGCCACUUGCUAUUUCUCAUUUCUCAGGCUAUUACACAGGAGUAGCCUGCUAGCCCCACAGGACUUACCUGGCAGCAAAUUUUGCCACUUUUAUCCAAAAUGAGCUGAAGAAAGUUCUCAGAAAACACAGUGUAUCUCUGCUGGUCACAUUGCAUCAACAACAGGGAGCAAAAGCUAUAUAGGCGCAGCGAGUGAAACUCCCGCUAGACAUUUUAUGUCUACGUAAAUUUCUUUUUUUUCACUUAAUACUUUGGAGUUGUUCUUCGUUUCAAAAUGCAUUUUGAAUUCAAAUAUCCUACAGUGUAAUUUUUUAUUUUUAUUUUUUUUUGCAAACCUGGGUGCGUGCUUCAAACCAGCCAAAUGACACAUCUCAGAAAUUGUAUACAGUCAAAGCAAAAGCUGCAGACAGUCACGUUAAAGGUCCAGUGUCCUGUCUCUAAUGAUGGCCAAGAAAGCAGAUGCCAGACAGAAAAUAUAAACAGGUCUGCUGAAAAUUAAGUACAUUGUGUGCUACCGAGUCAGCUGUUUUGCCUCCAGACCGUCCAUCUCUCAGCUGGCAUCGAUUUCACAGAGAGCUGCUAAAACCUUUUUGCGUGAUCCUCAACAUUUCCUGAGAGAUUCAACUCUUCGGGGACUUCAAGACUCCAGUCUGACACGUGGGUUAUUGCAGCCCUGGUGCAGUGUAUCCAGAAAGCACUCUGACACAGCACCUGGGGACGGUCUGCCCCAGUCGGGGCGUUGGUCAGCCUCGCUUCUGGUGCAGUGCUUCUGCACAGCUCCUGGCUGCCUCCUGCAACAGCCUCCGCCCAAGCUGUAUUUCUUCCUUUUACUACAAAUUAAAAAUACAUAUUUACAAGCUCUAA